GUCAAACAUGUUGGCUCAUUUUUGAAUGGGCAGAGUCUGUUGUAUAUACACAGACAAUUUUGGAUGAACCCAAGUUGGCCGAGGUUUGAGGUGUUUUGUUUUGAGCCCCCCUUCCAGCCUGCUUCACGUUGGCACCUACAGCCAGCAGACAGCGCUAACAAGUGAGGUGUUUUGAAUGAGCUGACAAAUAUUUAAGGAUUGUAUUGGGGUAGGGGAGGGCAAGGUCAUGCUGGGAUUUAUACUUUGGGAAAUCAAUGCUGCAUGUUAUUGUUGUUGCUGUAACUGCCAUUGAUUUGUUUUUGUUUUUUCUCCUCUGUUUUUUGGGGUGGGGCGCAGUGAGGAGGAUGCACAAAACUUUAUUUAUAAUUUUUACACAUGUUUUUUGAAAAAAUGUUGAAUUGUGUAUUUUUUAGAAAAGACACGCUCUUGCCUUUUCAUUUUAUGUUCUCAACUUGCUACUUUGCAAUCGACUUGUUUAGACCCAUCACUUGUAGAAAAGGGUUUGGGACUGUGGUUUAGAGCCUUCUUGGAAAACCGUUUUAUUUCAUUGUCCUCCCUCAUGACUUUAUCAGUUAGCGUGCGGAGACAGAGCUGUUUUUUUUUUUUUCUUUACCAAAAGUCUUCAAUGAUGGUGGUUGUUAUUAGCUUUUAUUUUUGUCUGUUUUGUUUGUUUAUGAUUAUGUUUUUCUAUUCAGGGUAAAGUUGACACCAAAUUGAACAAAGAAAUCAGAUGGUAACAGAUGGUGUUUGUUUUCAGCUGGUGAGGUGGAAACAGUCCUUUUUUCCACAGUUAAGGUGCGCUGACACUUGAUGCAUGCACUUGCACGCACAUGGUCAUGACAGUCCCACCCUGUGUGUUUCCAGCUAGACGCCGUGCUUUGUUCCACCAACUGCCACGCACUGAGCGCUGGAUGCUGUAUAUAUAAAAUAGUUAUUUUGUAGUGGAUUAAUCAUUUUCUGUGCAAGUUGGUUGCUGAAAGUGGCUUAAUCGCUUCCUGAAUCAAGGAGGACUGCUCCAGUCGGAGCUGUUCGCGUGAGCGCCGAUGAGCUGGGAGAAAGAAUUUGGAGCCAUCUAAAAAGGGAAUUAUGUCAUGUUUACAUUGUCAUGACUUGGUAAACAGUUGCAUGUCCUUUCCUUCUGUGUGCAGCUGUAAAAAUAUGUUUAUGAUCGAUUUAACUUCUCAUUAUAAUCGAUCAGACCAGCUGCACUCUGAUGAGGUGCACUGAUGCAACCACUCGCUCAUCACUUUUUCUUUACUCCACUUGACGAGCUGCACAUAGUGUUGGUGAGCUGAUCGCGCCACGUUGCAUGACAUUUAUGCGUGAAAGAUUUUUUUGAACAUUUCAAAAUUCUCUUUGCACAAUUGCACGUGCCGACGACCCUCUUGUGUUCAGUCUGCACCCGUUAAACAUGAGUUUACUCUCCUGCAUGACAGGUCGCGCAAGUGCGUGCAUCAAAGUCGUAUGUCAGUGGGCCUUUAGGCUGCAGUGUUUGUGCACAUGAUACCGCCACAGAUAGAAAAAUCUCUGAAAUGAAACUGUAAUAGUAUUUUUAUUAUGUAUGUUUCCUUUGAUCAGAUAUUAUGUUUGAUUUUUAUUUUUUGUUACCCCAGUUUGGGUCAUAAAGAGUGCUGUUGUUUUAUUCUACCCCAUCCUUGCCGUAAAGUCCCCUCAGUGCUUUUGUAUUUUAUUUUUUGCUCUAUUUUAUGAUUUUAUUAUUUCUGGUUUGUCUGAUGCUGUAUGCGUGGCCUGAUUGUUAAAAAACCAGAGCAUUUCCUGAUGCUGAGAUUGUUGUGACUGAUGUUGCACUUGUAAUUUUUUUUUUUAAAGCUUUAGAUUUUUUUUCCCCCCUUGCCUAGAUUGAAUUACAGUAGUGUCUCUUUCUUCUUAAGUUUCAGCAUUUAUUCGAUCAGUUGUAGUAGAUCUGUGACACGGCAAGAAAAUGAUUCAACAGUGUAUUUUAUUUUCACUAUUUAUUUAUUGGUCAUUUGUACAUUUUUAUUUUGUUUUAUUGUUGAGGGUAAACAGGACUUAAAGUAGAGAGUUAGUCUCUUUUGAUAUUAUAUCUUUGUGUACAGAAAGUGAAACAUUGUAAAUGACCAUCACACUAACAAGCAGUCUGUAAACAGACAGAUAAAAACGUGACCUAUAGAGCAGUAAGACGUGCGAAGAUACAGUUCACCCUCUGGCCCCCAUGUUGUGCUUUUAUUUUUACAGCCUUUAUUUUUUGCUAAUACUCACAGUUGAGCUAAUAUUUAAAAUAAUAAUGUGUCAUUAGUAAGUACUGAUUAAUAAAUCAGAGUGGGCUUGAAAAUAUAACAUGUAGGUACAUGAUUUCAUCUGAUGAUGACCGGUUGGCUUGAUAUAGUAACUUGCACUCUUGCUUUAAAACAUGUGACUGAGGUUUUACAGGCAGUUGCUGGUUUCUAAAUGUAGUUCUGGGUCCUGGUUGGAUGAUUUACUAGUUCACGGGGUCAGGAGAGGAUUUGUUUCGUUACAGCUGUUGCACUUUGAAAGCUUGUUGUACGCAUUACACCGUGGAUUUGACAGCUUUACUGUCCGUUUUCUUUUCUGCGCCCCCCCCCCCCCCAUUUCACCCAGUCUCAUUUCAAACUGAAUAAAUGCCCUUAUGUUGUGAACACCUCAGGAUUCUUUUGGAGAAAAUAAUAAUAAAACACUUAAAAAUAAAAUAAACAAAAACUU